rnacentral:rRNA from 1 species
GAUGAACGCUGGCGGCGUGCCUAAUACAUGCAAGUCGAGCGAACAGACGAGGAGCUUGCUCCUCUGACGUUAGCGGCGGACGGGUGAGUAACACGUGGAUAACCUACCUGUAAGACUGGGAUAACUUCGGGAAACCGGAGCUAAUACCGGAUAAUAUAUUGAACCGCAUGGUUCAAUAGUGAAAGACGGUUUUGCUGUCACUUAUAGAUGGAUCCGCGCCGCAUUAGCUAGUUGGUAAGGUAACGGCUUACCAAGGCAACGAUGCGUAGCCGACCUGAGAGGGUGAUCGGCCAAACUGGAACUGAGACACGGUCCAGACUCCUAAGGGAGGCAGCAGUAGGGAAUCUUCCGCAAUGGGCGAAAGCCUGACGGAGCAACGCCGCGUGAGUGAUGAAGGUCUUCGGAUCGUAAAACUCUGUUAUUAGGGAAGAACAAAUGUGUAAGUAACUAUGCACGUCUUGACGGUACCUAAUCAGAAAGCCACGGCUAACUACGUG